rnacentral:tRNA from 1 species
GCCUGGGUGGCUCAGUCGGUUAAGUGUCUGACUUCGGCUCAGGUUAUGAUUUCACAGUUCACGGGUUCGAGCCCUGUGUUGGGCU